rnacentral:rRNA from 1 species
GAUGAACGCUAGCGGCAGGCUUAACACAUGCAAGUCGAGGGGUAUAGUUCUUCGGAACUAGAGACCGGCGCACGGGUGCGUAACGCGUAUGCAAUCUACCUUUCACAAAGGGAUAGCCCAGAGAAAUUUGGAUUAAUACCUUAUAGUAAUACGACUUGGCAUCAAGAUGUAUUUAAAGAUUUAUCGGUGAAAGAUGAGCAUGCGUCCCAUUAGCUUGUUGGUAAGGUAACGGCUUACCAAGGCUACGAUGGGUAGGGGUCCUGAGAGGGAGAUCCCCCACACUGGUACUGAGACACGGACCAGACUCCUACGGGAGGCAGCAGUGAGGAAUAUUGGACAAUGGGCGCAAGCCUGAUCCAGCCAUGCCGCGUGCAGGAUGACGGUCCUAUGGAUUGUAAACUGCUUUUGACAGGAAGAACAUACUUCGUGAAGUAGCUUGACGGUACUGUAAGAAUAAGGAUCGGCU